GACAGGCGUAAAAAGACAUCUGAACGGAGUUCCCACAUUCGGCUUUCAGCGGGAAAGGAAGCUUGGUUGAAUUAGCUGUAUCCCUGAAAAUCGGAUGCAUCCGGUUGUUUCCACUCCGCUAAGGGUGGUCCUGAUGCUGGAAGAGGUAUAUUGCCAUUGGCUGCUUUCUGUCGAGACAUUCUUUUAAAUUUACACCUUGUUGCCAGGAAGUCGGCAUCUGUCUGAACUGUUAAUGCAGGUCAUUAAACUUUAGAAACAAUGUUUGGCCAUGACUCUGAUCAGAAGUAGUGCACUAUGUAGGGUUAAUACUGCCAUUUAGGACACAGCCUGUGACUGAGUCAGAUGCCUUCAAUUGGUCUGAAACACCACGGUCCCAUUUGUAUAUGGUUGUGUGGUUAAAUAAUCAUAAUUAGUUGUGAGUCACAAUCACUGCAGCUCCCAGUUUAUCUGCUCCCUUUAUCCCUCCUGAUCAGGAGAAAGAGGAAGCCAAUGGGAGGAGAGAAAAGGUUGGAGAACAGCUUUAUAGUUGAUGAGAUGGAUGGGUAGGUUUUUGCAUCUGUUCUUUAAAAUACAAAAUGUAACCUAGUUUCUUUUGUAGCUGUGCAGACAGUUCAUGUGAAAUAGUCUGAUACUACUCUGAACAUACGGUGAUAAUAUGGCAGUGGAUGGCUAAGUGCAUCACUACUGCCUUCCUAAGACCAAGUCAUUUAGCCAUGGAUCCAGAAAUGCCUAGGCUUUUUUUUGUGCCAGUGGUAUUAACAGUGCUUCUUGAGUAUGUUGUGUUACGGUGCAAAGGGUUGUCAGGUUGGAAUUUCCACUCUGUCACAACUACAGGGGGAUGUUAGAAGGUCAGAGUGUUGGAAGAUUGGAAUGGAUCUGACGGGAAGGUUGGGAUGUUGGAAGGUUGGGAUGUUGGAAGGUUGGGAUGUUGGAAGGUUGAAAUGGAAGGUUUGAGUGGAACUGAAGGUUGGAAUGAAACUGACUGGAAGGUUGGAAUGGAACUGACCGGAAGGUUUGAAUGUUGGGAUGUUGGAAGGUUGGAAUGGAAGGUUUGAAUGGAACUAACAGCUGGAAGGUGCUGUAUAUUGGUACCAUUAGACUUCCAGGUGAGGGGAUUUUAGGAAACAUACUGUACAAGGGAAAUCGUCUCCCCUCUCGAAAAAGAAGAGAGCUCUCAACCUUUAAAUGUGGUGGAUCUUGUCAGAUCCCCCAGACUCCAAGGCACCAUCACUAAUCAUGUGUUAACUUCUAUGUUUCCAGGUAUGUGCUUUUCCACAGCAUUUGUGUGUGCAACCAACAAUGACCAGAAUCGUACAUGGGGGUACGAGCUCAUUGAGGUCAGAGGUUAUGUCAUGGGUCCUCCCAUUUAGGUCAGUGUCACUGUGUUGGGAACAAAGCGGGCCUAUGAAUACACUUCUAACUUGAUAGGUAGUGUGAGUUACCUGUACCAGGUAUCAGUAGUGUGAGCAGUUGCCAGAAAUACUAUGCUUCGAAAGAACUGCGACAUUUGGAAUAGCAUUUACAAGACCUCCCUCAUUUAUAUGGGUAUUGAUGCAUUCCCAAACUCGUUUUUUCAUUCACCCAACAUAUACCACAUUUGUUCUCCAAUUACACAAAACCAAUUAGUUUUUUAUACACAUUACUUCCUUUUUGUCUAACUGUUUUUUUUUUCAUGUUGCUUAAAAUCCCAAUUAAUAUUACAGGAGUAGCCUACCCUGAAAUUACAAAAUUCACAUUUUUUUAAGCAAAAUGGACACCCACCCAUGGCCAUCCCACUGUGCACAUACAUCAGUUCAACGUCUUGUUUUCAUUUGGUUGAGUUGUGAACUAACGUUAAUUCAAUAACAACACAAAUGGCCGUGUCUUUGGAUUAAGGUAAAAAAUUGGGUGAAAAAAAGUUCUAUCAGUUUUCCACAUUGAUUCAACGUUGUCACAUUGGAAUUUUGUUGUUGAAAUGAUGUGGAAACAACAUUGAUUCCACCUGUUUUUGCCCAGAGGGAGUGAAUGUCAUGCAUUGACUACAACACAAUGGAUUGGAUACUCGUUAUGUCUAAGUCGGAACUAGGAAACUCUGAAAUUUCCGACUUGCUAACUAACUGGUUGAUCGCGGCACGUGUAUAACUAUAACCAGUUAGCAAGUCAGAGUUUCCUAGUUCCGAUUAGCACUUGAAUGCGGCAAUAUUUAAUAUCCCUUUCUAUAUAGGUUGUGUUUUGAAACUAUUGUCAUCUGUUCGAACGCUGUACCUGAUUUACAAUAGAAAAGCUAAAACUUUGUCAAUGUGAAAAAUGAUAUGUUCUUAAGUGCCUUACCUGUAUAAAUGAAAAAAUAAAUAAACAACAUCAAGAUGAGCAAUAGGGGGACUUGAACAGCGUGUUUAUUACCCUAUUUACUUAUGAGAGGUUGUCUAUGAAGACUCUGCUGAGACAAUGUGGUAAAUAGCAUACCAGAAGUGUCACACGAUUUCUGUUUUUUUAACGUGUCAAAACAUUUUGAAAUGUUUUUCGUUGCAUGCACUAAUGAACACUACCCAUGAGUUUUAAAGAUAAAAUGUUCUCAACUUAAUGGACUGAAACAGGGAGGGACAACCUGGACUUGUUCAAUAGGAAACUCUGGUUUCCGUUUUCCGUGUCAAAACAUUUUGAAACGUUUUCUGUUGUAUGCCGUAAUGAACAUUACCCAGGAAUUGUAAAGAUCAAAUUUACUUAACUCAAUAACAUGAUAUACAAUACACUUGAAUAAAG
ensembl:lncRNA